ACCUGACUGAGAGAGGCAUUGUCUGAGAAGCUAUUGACGCCAGUUUUUCUGCUUUGCUUUAAAUGAUUUGUACACAGAUAUCAAAACAGUACAGAAAGUACAGCUGCAGAGAUGUAGCCAAGGGAUGGGCCAUCCUAGCACGAAGCAUGGCCACCCUUCUGGCCAACCCAGUUAUGGAAAGUGAGACCAUCAGCCAUCAUCAAUUAAAAGGUCACCAGAAAAAAAGUUGCCAUCAAGGUAUUUAUGAUGAGUCUGCAUUUAAUAAUUUGUGUAUCUUGCUGUUAUAGGCUAAUUUUGCUGAACAAACAAAAGAGUGAAUGUGAGCUACUUUAUGAAGUAUAACAUGUGAUCAUAAGAUUAACUUAUUAACAAAGUUAACCAUCAAAAAAUUAGUCAGCUAUAAUCAAUUGUCAUGCUAACAAGUCACUUUUUACAGCUAAAUACAUGCAUAUGUUGUAGGCUGGGUUCCAUCUAAGCUGUAGCAAGGGCAGCCUAAAUUAAAGGGUCCGUCUACAUUUUUUUAAUGUUAAUGUUGUGUAUUUACUUAUUUUUAUUUUUAUGACAUUAAUUGUGCUUAUGUAAUAAUUUAUUCAUCUACCUUUGAUUGUAUAUGAAUUAAUGUGUAUAUAUAAUAUGUAUAACAUAACAUAUUAAUGCAUAUUUAGGCUGUUAUGAAAGAUCAAACAAUGCUAUGUUCCCUUUUUUCUUUUCUAGACCAUAUCAGAAAAUAUCACUGGCUUUGAAUUUCCAUUUGUUAUGGUUAUUUUGUUGCUCUCAUGGCACCACAAUGCAAUGGGAGUCUUUUUAAAUGUGCCCUAAGUGCAUUAAGUAUGAUCAUCAACAUGUAAGCAUUGAAGUCUAUAUAUGUAUAUUCUAUUCUAUACAUAUACUCAUCAGCAUGCAAGCAUAGAUCAUGGUUGUCUAAAAAAAACAUGUAUCUCCAUUUUUGCCCAUUUUUAUUUUUCUCUAUCAUUUGAAUGCAGCAGCUGUCUUGUACAUCAUGUGAUGAAUGGACUGAAAGAAAUGCUCCAAAAUCACAUGACUGACUUACAUCAACAAGCAGCUUUGUCUUGUAAAGUGACUAUUUUGGAGAUACUUGCUUUUCUUUGGACAGCAACAAUACAUUACUACUACAUAAUAACACAUUCUGAAGGGACUCCCAAAGAGAUGAAGCUGUUUCUUAAAUUGAAUUGAAUUGCAUUGAAUUGAAGACAUAAAAACAGUUAGGUUAAAAUGUACAUUUGUGGCAUAUGCCAUGUGCCUCUACAUGUUCAUUUUAAAGGAAAAACUUUAAGGAAUUCUUAGUCAUCCAGAUAAUCCCAAAGUCAAGUCUGUUCAGUAGAAGAAGAGAUCAUGACCACUCCUUCUGGACAAUCGUCAGUUUUGGCUGAAGUUAUCCAGCUUACUGAGAAAUCUUGCUUUGUAAAUUCCCCCAUAGAUCUGAAAUAGCCCUGACACUAACACCUCUGGUGCAUAGCUGUGAAACAUCGCACCAUAGAAAACAGAAAAGGGUUGUUUUUCACUGCCUUUAAGGGGUGAGUGCAAGGUCAGUAACGAAAGGGAAGUGACUAACAGAUCACUGUAAGAUCUGCAUUAGCACAAAUUGUCAAGCAGUUUAACAGCCCUUGAUUUAUAAUAAUAAUAAAGUUUAUUUAAAUACCACUUUCAGUACAAGCGCUUUACAAAGAAACAAAAACAACAUAAACGAACAAUAGUAUAUAGUAUAAAUAUCAAAUAAAACAAUAAAUGUAAUCAAAAAUAUUCACACACACA